rnacentral:rRNA from 1 species
UACGUAGGGACCAAGCGUUGUCCGGAAUCAUUGGGCGUAAAGCGCGCGUAGGCGGCCCGGUAAGUCCGUUGUAAAAAGUCGAAGGCUCAACCUUCGAAAGCCGAUGGAUACUGCCGGGCUAGAGUACGGAAGAGGCGAGUAGAAUUCCUGGUGUAGCGGUGGAAUGCGCAGAUAUCAGGAGGAAUACCCAUAGCGAAGGCAGCUCGCUGGGACGUUACUGACGCUGAGGCGCGAAAGCGUGGGAGCGAACAGG